CACCGCAGCCUGACAGAUGUGCCAGUUUCCGGUGGAUAAAAGCCCCACCGCGCCGCUCACCGGAUUCACCGUGCGACCGCAAGCCUCAAACAGCAGCGAUUGAAACAGAGCUGAUGAAUACAGAGAGACAAUUCACAAAAUUAGGUCUUUUGGCUUCCGCCACGGCGGAGACGAACGAAAUGAGAUCGGUGCGGCCGAAGAACUUGGAGACGAACAGAAUGGCGUUGCCUUGCGCCUGCGGACUCUCUAUCCAUUCCAAACACGGCUUCAGCACGCACCUCUCGCUGCAACCUCUCCGCAUAGGGAAUGAGAGGGAUUUUGCAGCAGAUGAAGCUGCGGUUAAUUAUAGAAGAAGAAGCUGCAGUUAAAAGUAACCAUGGUUAGGUUCAGUUCCAAAAUUGCACAGAUACAAAUUCUAUAUUCCCAGCCCAGAUUUUGAUUUUAGGCCCAAUUUCGGCCCAGAUCAAAAUGAUGUCCAGGCCCAAUAAGAAGACUUGAGGGCCAAGUGGAAGAUGGUGACGACGACUGUGCUGGGCGUCGCCGACUCAGUCCGAGUCAAACCUUCUACGCGGUCCACACCACUAUUUCUUCUACGGUCCCAGGACCUCACUCCCCACCUAUAAACACCGUUUGUUGAAAAAGAGAGGCUUCUCCAAUGCCCCCUGGUCCGCGACUCCGGGUGAUAAGAGUUGAGUAGGAGUGGCUAAGCCGCCAGGCGGCAAGUGGGUUUGUGGCUGAGCAGUCGGCUCCGGUAAAUCUACACCGUUGAUUAGGUGGACUCCACACUGUGUACGGUGUGGAUUGUCGGAGCUUUAAGAACGUUCUUUUGAUGGUAGUGCUUUGAAUGUGCACACGUUCAUGAACCUUCUUAGUGUAUGCUUCCGAUGAUCCAAUGGUCAUUAUCUAAAUUUUCUUAAUUAUAUAUAAUCGUAAUUAUUUUACAAAUGACUUAUAUAAGUAUUUAUUUAUUUAUUUAUUUCAUUUGUACUGGAAGUUGUACAAAUUUUACUU